ACAGCAGGUCCUCUGGGAACACAUGGAACUUGGGAAUGAAGGUGACAUUUAAGAAAUGAUCGGUUUAGUGCUCCACAUCUAUUAUGUUCCUGUGAAGGCUCAGAAUGUGUCACUUUGACUUCAACAAGGAACGAAAAUGGCUUCUCUUUGGCUACAAAAGAUUCCGGGCUUGGUGUCUUUGGAGAAGAGCAUGCAGUGCUCCUGAGUACGUUCCUUCAGGGCUAGUCCUCUCCAUGCUCCAGGAAACCCAUUGGUGUCCCCGUCCAUGAACGACCCUAGAAGCUGUUCAUCCCUUCAGAGCUGCGUUGGCUCCUUCUGUGCCUGGUUUGUUGCCACACUACUCCUCCAUGGGGCCUAUGAGCCUUUAUGUUCCAGCUGACUUUCUCUAACAGAGCAACCAAUGUGCUUUUUCACCACAACGAACUGAAGCACGAGUUCAUUGGGGCUGAAGGAAAACUGUCUCAGAGACAAAAGUGUGAAAAACUGCAGGAGCCUUCUAGGAAUGUGAAAGUGGUUACAACCUCAGAGACCACCUUGCAGAUGGCAGCUUCCACCUCGCGGUGCUGCUGGCAGGGCCGGCGCCUCGUGGCACCCUGGGCACUCCCAGGCAGGUAAGGCACACAUGAAAGGGUCACAGAGGAGGAAACCUGCUCAAGUCAAUGAAGAUGAUAAGUAGUAAUGAUUUUUUGGGGGUGUUUAUUUUUUGAGUGCUGGGCUGUUCCCCACUAGACUUCUUAAGGAGGGGGGAAAGAAAUCGCCCUGUAUAUACUUCCCUAUCACUGGGAACUGUGAAUACAGAAAACAACACAUCAGUGCUCAUCAGCAAGGGCAAGACCUUUAUGUCAAUGCUCAUUUACAGAACAAAUGCGCAGCGGUAUCCUCCCUGGGGCUGUGAAUAUCCCCAUUGUGCAAGUCCAGGAAGGGCUGUCGCCGGAGGUGGCUGGGAAACCUGGAUUAGCAUAAAGAGAGCCAACCCAUUCCUUCCUCCUCACCAAUCACACUUUUUCAGAAAAGCCAAAUACUGUCUGAGCAUCCCCACAGUAUCAGCCUUCCUGCCUCUCUUUACAGUGACCUUUUUCCUCCAGGUGAGACAGCAAGAAGAGAGGUCUUGUCAUGGCUACCGAUGUGUAUCACGGCUGCGCUCUUUGUAGAAG